rnacentral:ncRNA from 2 species
UUUGAGUCAACCUUCUGUGGUGCUUGCGAUGAUAGCGUCGCGAGAUAAUCGGGAAGCCAGUGAAAUUCUGGCACUGCCCCCGCAACGGUAAAAGGUGAGAGACGGCCGCAUUCGAUAGGUGUUCACGAUGAACCCGUAAAUCGCAGUGUGCAAAGGUCAGUUUCGCGUUUAUCUCUAGUGAGAUGGAUUAUAGCCUAAGUCCGGAGACCGGCCCUAAAGGUGUUUUUGAG